GCUGGGCAUGGUGGCUCAUGCCUGUAAUCCCGGCACUUUGGGAGGCCGAGAUGGGUGGAUCACCUGAGGUCAGGAGUUUGUGACCAGCCUGGCCAACAUGGUGAAACCUCAUCUCUA
ensembl:misc_RNA Metazoa_SRP Metazoan signal recognition particle RNA